ACCUCAAAGGUGUCACUGGGGCAUAUUUGG
rnacentral:piRNA from 1 species